rnacentral:misc_RNA from 1 species
GAUGAAUAACGUAGCGAAAUGCGAUACGUAAUGUGAAUUGCAGAAUUCAGUGAAUCAUCGAGUCUUUGAACGCACAUUGCGCCCCCUGGUAUUCCGGGGGACAUGCCUGUCCGAGCGUCAUUGCUGCCCUCAAGCACGGCUUGUGUGUUGGGCCUCCGUCCUCCUCCCGGGGGACGGGCCCGAAAGGCAGCGGCGGCACCGCGUCCGGUCCUCGAGCGUAUGGGGCUUCGUCACCCGCUCUUGUAGGCCCGGCCGGCGCUUGCCGACACAUCAAUCUUUUUUCCAGGUUGACCUCGGAUCAGGUAGGGAUACCCGCUGAACUUAAGCAUAUCAAUAAGCGGAGGA